rnacentral:tRNA from 1 species
GGAGAGAUGCAGGAGUGGUUGAACUGGCCGCUCUCGAAAAGCGGUAAGGCGGCAACGCCUUCGAGGGUUCGAAUCCCUCUCUCUCCGCCA